rnacentral:lncRNA from 1 species
CCUUGUUCAUGUAGAACAGUGGUCACUCUGAGUCCACUCAUCUUCAAAAAGUUCAUUAUCUUCCUUAUUUAAACAACACAUCAUAACAAACUUGGGAAAUAUAGACAUUAUUUAACCUUAAGAAAUCAGGAAAUGUUGCUGACAUACUGAAAUUUAAGGACACUUCCAGUCAUUUGGGUCCAUGGGAAACAGAAAGGAAUAUCCAACUGAAGAUGUUUUAAGUGUAGAACCAAUGCACAAUGCUGUUUUUCAUCUGUGUGUGCGUGCAUGCAUGUGCACAUGCAUGUGUGUGUGUGCAUAUGUGUGUGCAUGCAUGCAUGUGUGUGUGCGUGUGCAUGCACACACAUGCAUUAUUUCUUCUGCCCUGGGAUUGAACCCAGGCCUGCAUGCUACCCAAACACUCUGCCAUUGAACCACAAUUCCUGUUCUUGUGUUUGUUUAUUUUUUAAAGUCAUCAGAAUAUUUUUGCUACUCUCAACCCACUCGCUCACUGUUUAUAUAUAAGCCUCUAAUUUGGGGGUUAUGUUUAUCAUGAGCAUAACAAUCUCCAUUGCAAAAGCUUUUACAAAAUACUUAUUAUGCUCUCAACUGCUGAGUACUUUUGUUACCACUAGGUAACUGUCUCAGUCACUGUUCUACUGCUGUGAAGAGACAUCAUGACCAAGGCAACUCUUAUAAAAGAAAGUAUUUAAUUUUGGGCUUGCUUAUAGCUUCAGAAGUUUGGUCCAUUAUCAUUAUGAUGGCACACAGUAGCUGUGAGCUAUAUCCUGACUUGAACCCCAAGAGAAAGAAUUGGACCUACCAUGGGCUUUUGAAACCUUAAAUCCCACCUCCAGUGAGAAACUUCCUCCAAUAAGGCCACACCUACUCCAAAAAGCUCAUUCUUCUCAAAUACUGCCACUCCCUGGUGACUAAGCAUUCAAAUCUAUGAGCCUAUGGAGGCCGCUUUAAUUCAAGCCACCACACCUAUCUAACCUAACUAUUCCAUAGUAAAAAUGUAUGUGAAACCCAAUAUGGGGGAGAGACACUACAACUCCCACUUAAAUUCCUUUAGAUCAAAAUAAAAUUGUUGUUGCCUUUCUUCCCAGGAAAGAGAUGUUGCUGUGCCAUUCUACACAGGACCAAUUGGAGUGCACUAAAGAGAUUCCCCAGGAAGGUGUUGAGCCAGAAUCGGUUGGGUUCUUCCCAGCUGGAGGAUUCUUCACUCAUAAAACUUGCCAGAGGAUAAUGACCUCGGAGGUCCCUGAAUCACAAUAGCAGGCUUCUGUUCAGUGAAGCACAAUCUUCAGAAUGCUCCAAAGCUUCAGGAUUUAGGACAAGUCUUUCCACACAGAGAGAGGAAUUCACAAAACCUAAACUGGAAAAUCAGUCUCAUUACAAGAGAAACCAGGAAGAACGAUGGGAAAGAAGAGGCCUUCUCCUUCCCAGGCCUGGAGAAAAUUCUGCCUUGACACCCCACGCUCUUUUUUUGCGGCAACUGCCUCCUUCUCUGUCCUGCCGAAGGCCACAGCAGCACGUUUGCAGCGGAAAUAAACUUGCGCACCUCAUAAAAAGAACCAGUAAUGAUGCUCCCAUUUCAUGGGAUAUUACACCAUAAUGAUGAUAAUCCGCCCAUUUACAUCUGAUCUUCCAUAGACUUAGUGAAAUUAGCUUCCGUGCCACCUAGCAGGGGUAAUUUAUGAGAUAAAAAGGAACCAUUGAGAGAUAAUGUAAUGAGUAUUUACUGUAUCCUUGAUGGUGCUCUCAUCGCUGGGGAGACGGGAAGUUGGCUGGUGAGUUUAGCCUCCCACAUUUUCAGAGCCUCGUGCUAAAACCUCGGGUUAGCCGAUCCAGACCAAGACAUCACCCCAAACGCUCCUCCUCAGAAAAGCUAUGCAAACUCAUGCGGUGUUUGUGCUC